rnacentral:sRNA from 25 species
CCUUUGGAGAGCCAUACAAAAUCGUAGUAGCUUAAUGCAAGGCGAGGUUCUAUGAAGAAGGAA